AUACGUAGGGUGCAAGCGUUAUCCGGAAUUAUUGGGCGUAAAGGGCUCGUAGGCGGUUCGUCGCGUCCGGUGUGAAAGUCCAUCGCUUAACGGUGGAUCCGCGCCGGGUACGGGCGGGCUUGAGUGCGGUAGGGGAGACUGGAAUUCCCGGUGUAACGGUGGAAUGUGUAGAUAUCGGGAAGAACACCAAUGGCGAAGGCAGGUCUCUGGGCCGUUACUGACGCUGAGGAGCGAAAGCGUGGGGAGCGAACAGGAUUAGAUACCCUGGUAGUCCACGCCGUAAACGGUGGAUGCUGGAUGUGGGGCCCGUUCCACGGGUUCCGUGUCGGAGCUAACGCGUUAAGCAUCCCGCCUGGGGAGUACGGCCGCAAGGCUAAAACUCAAAGAAAUUGACGGGGGCCCGCACAAGCGGCGGAGCAUGCGGAUUAAUUCGAUGCAACGCGAAGAACCUUACCUGGGCUUGACAUGUUCCCGACGGUCGUAGAGAUACGGCUUCCCUUCGGGGCGGGUUCACAGGUGGUGCAUGGUCGUCGUCAGCUCGUGUCGUGAGAUGUUGGGUUAAGUCCCGCAACGAGCGCAACCCUCGCCCCGUGUUGCCAGCGGAUUAUGCCGGGAACUCACGGGGGACCGCCGGGGUUAACUCGGAGGAAGGUGGGGAUGACGUCAGAUCAUCAUACCCCUUACGUCCAGGGCUUCACGCAUGCUACAAUGGCCGGUACAACGGGAUGCGACGCGGCGACGCGGAGCGGAUCCCUGAAAACCGGUCUCAGUUCGGAUCGCAGUCUGCAACUCGACUGCGUGAAGGCGGAGUCGCUAGUAAUCGCGAAUCAGCAACGUCGCGGUGAAUGCGUUCCCGGGCCUUGUACACACCGCCCGUCAAGUCAUGAAAGUGGGCAGCACCCGAAGCCGGUGGCCUAACCCCUUGUGGGAUGGAGCCGUCUAAGGUGAGGCUCGUGAUUGGGACU
rnacentral:rRNA from 1 species